GAGUUUGAUCGUGGCUCAGAGUGAACGCUGGCGGCAGGCCUAACACAUGCAAGUCGAGCGGCAGCGCGGGGGCAACCCUGGCGGCGAGCGGCGGACGGGUGAGGAAUGCAUCGGAAUCUACCUCGUUGUGGGGGAUAACCUCGGGAAACCGGGACUAAUACCGCAUACGACCUACGGGUGAAAGUGGGGGACCGCAAGGCCUCACGCGAUGAGAUGAGCCGAUGCCGGAUUAGCUAGUUGGCGGGUAAAGCCCACCAAGGCGACGAUCCGUAGCUGGUCUGAGAGGAUGAUCAGCCACACUGGAACUGAGACACGGUCCAGACUCCUACGGGAGGCAGCAGUGGGGAAUAUUGGACAAUGGGCGCAAGCCUGAUCCAGCCAUGCCGCGUGUGUGAAGAAGGCCUCGG
rnacentral:rRNA from 1 species